GCCCGGAUGGUGGGAAUCGGUAGACACAAGGGAUUUAAAAUCCCUCGGCGUUCGCGCUGUGCGGGUUCAAGUCCCGCUCCGGGUACCA
rnacentral:tRNA from 1 species